GCACUACUGACGAGUCCCACAAUUGGACGAAACGGUCGUCCAGAGC
rfam:Schistosoma mansoni strain Puerto Rico chromosome 1, complete genome